UGGUAUGACUGCUUCAGUGCCGAAGGCUAGCUUAAAGGAGAUUUCUCCUAUUGAAAGUCGUUAAGUCAUUCGAUACGCCCAUAGCACAUGGUAUAGCUCUUUAAUGCACAAUCCUUUUGCUUGAUCGAGUCGAGCUUUCAGUCCCUACAGCAAGGUCCUGUUUAUCACCUUAGCUUCACCAUUGCUCUGAGGAUGAGCUACAAAAGUCAGCCAGUAGUUGAUGCCCAAUUCAUUGUAGAACCCUUUAAACUUUGAAUUAUCAAACUAUCAUUUAUUGUCGGUGAUAAUCACUCACUGC
rnacentral:lncRNA from 1 species